GACGAACGCUGGCGGCGUGCUUAACACAUGCAAGUCGAACGGUGAAGGGAUCAGCUUGCUGGUUCUGGAUGAGUGGCGAACGGGUGAGUAACACGUGAGUAACCUGCCCCCUUCUUCUGGAUAACCGCAUGAAAGUGUGGCUAAUACGGGAUAUUCUGGGUCUGUCGCAUGAUGGGUCUGGGAAAGAUAUUGUUUCGGUGGGGGAUGGGCUCGCGGCCUAUCAGCUUGUUGGUGGGGUGAUGGCCUACCAAGGCGGUGACGGGUAGCCGGCCUGAGAGGGUGGACGGUCACACUGGGACUGGGCCACGGCCCAGACUCCUACGGGAGGCAGCAGUGGGGAAUAUUGCACAAUGGGCGCAAGCCUGAUGCAGCGACGCCGCGUGAGGGAUGGAGGCCUUCGGGUUGUAAACCUCUUUCGCCAGUGAAGCAGGCCUGCUCCUUGUGGGUGGGUUGACGGUAGCUGGAUAAGAAGCGCCGGCUAACUACGUG
rnacentral:rRNA from 1 species